UAGUCGAUGGGAAACAGGUUAAUAUUCCUGUACUUGGUGUUACUGCGAAGGGGGGACGGAGAAGGCUAUGUUGGCCGGGCGACGGUUGUCCCGGUUUAAGCGUGUAGGCUGGUUUUCCAGGCAAAUCCGGAAAAUCAAGGCUGAGGCGUGAUGACGAGGCACUACGGUGCUGAAGCAACAAAUGCCCUGCUUCCAGGAAAAGCCUCUAAGCAUCAGGUAACAUCAAAUCGUACCCCAAACCGACACAGGUGGUCAGGUAGAGAAUACCAAGGCGCUUGAGAGAACUCGGGUGAAGGAACUAGGCAAAAUGGUGCCGUAACUU
rnacentral:rRNA from 1 species